GUAAGUAAAAAGGAUGGAACAAGAAGCCAAAAUUAUGCUAUGAAAUUUUGCUCCUUCCUAAAGGAUUGUUGCCAUUUCAAGGAGGAGAGAGAGGUCAAGUAAAGCUUUCUCAUUAACAGUUAAGAGCAGUGAUUAAAAUUUGCUUCUUGAAGAAUUAGUUGUGGUAGAAUAACAGAGAACAUACAUUCCAGAGGAGCCUACAAGACAUUUUGAGGGGACACUGUACUCCUCCUCUGUGUGACAUGCAGGAGAAUGGGUGAUUCCAGAUUAGAGAAUUCGGAGACUACAGGAUCACACAAAGUGGCUUCCCAGCCUGCAUUGUGGUGUUCCCAGCAGUCUUGACUCUCUGAUCCUGGCUUUGUAAUCACUGGAUCACGCCUCAGUUGAAGGGGCCAUGCAUGCGCUGAUACCUCUCAGGAUGUCUGAGGACAAGCCUCUUUUUUCUACUUCUGCUCCCUGGGCUGAAACUACC
rnacentral:lncRNA from 1 species